AAUAGAAAUGUGAAUUUCUUUUAGAAAUUGGUGGCUUCUAGGCCAAGAAAAGCCAGAAAACGUGUUUUUGGCUCAUGUGGAUGAAAGACACCAAAUCCCAGAAUGCACUUGCUUUGCUGCUUUAGCAUCUACUCCCAAGCCAUGCAUCCGUUUACAGACAGACAGUGAGACAGUCAACUCAACUUAACUGUUACAUUGUCCAGCUUCUUU